rnacentral:lncRNA from 1 species
UGGGGCUAAAGUCGGUGACGUCGGAGGUGAGGCGGUGGGUGCAGGUUGAAGUCGGCUAUGCCGGAGGGGGUGAGACAUCGGAAGAGGCCGAAGCGUAUUUGGGAGACAUCUGAGAUGGCAGCGAGGAGCUCGGAUUUGUUGAGAUGGGGCAUCCGCUCCACCAGCUCCACUGCUUCAUGGGGGCGGCAACGGGAGUCGUCGAUGGUGGGCUGCUCAAUGUCGGGCUUGAGG